rnacentral:rRNA from 1 species
UGAGGAAUAUUGGUCAAUGGGCGCAAGCCUGAACCAGCCAUCCCGCGUGCAGGAGGACGGCGCUAUGCGUUGUAAACUGCUUUUCCAGGGAGAGAAACUUGCGCACGUGUUGCGCAAUCGACGGUACCCUGGGAAUAAGCAUCGGCUAACUCCGUGCCAGCAGCCGCGGUAAUACGGAGGAUGCGAGCGUUAUCCGGAUUCAUUGGGUUUAAAGGGUGCGUAGGCGGGCUAUUAAGUCAGUGGUGAAAUCCUGCAGCUUAACUGCAGAACUGCCAUUGAUACUGAUAGCCUUGAGUUUGGUUAAGGUAGGCGGAAUGUGUAAUGUAGCGGUGAAAUGCUUAGAUAUUACACAGAACACCAAUUGCGUAGGCAGCUUACUGAGCCGACACUGACGCUGAGGCACGAAAGCGUGGGGAUCGAACAG